AACAUCAUCACCAAGGCCGUGCUGGGUCUGUAACGGUUGUCAUUCCGGGGCGCGCGGAAGCGCGACCCCGGGAUCUCUAUCAAGGCUUGCUGUGUGGAUUCCGGGCCUGCGCGCUGCGCGGAAUGACCGGCAAAGUCAUCAAGCGAAUGCGUCGAGCACAGGGAUUGUAAAAUGGAUUUUGAUUUGUCCGAGGAGCAGCGGCUCCUGAAAGAUAGCGUCGAGGGCCUGCUGGCCGAUUCCUACGAUUUCGAUCAGCGCAAGAAGUACGCCAAGGAAAAGGGCGGCUGGAGCAAGGCGGUCUGGAACAAGCUGGCGGAGCAGGGUCUGCUCGGCCUGCCGUUCUCGGAAGAAGAUGGCGGGGUCGGCGCGGGCGCGG
rnacentral:misc_RNA from 1 species